GGCCUAACACAUGCAAGUCGAGCGGUAGCACAGGAGAGCUUGCUCUCUGGGUGACGAGCGGCGGACGGGUGAGUAAUGUCUGGGAAACUGCCUGAUGGAGGGGGAUAACUACUGGAAACGGUAGCUAAUACCGCAUAACGUCUUCGGACCAAAGAGGGGGACCUUCGGGCCUCUUGCCAUCAGAUGUGCCCAGAUGGGAUUAGCUAGUAGGUGAGGUAAUGGCUCACCUAGGCGACGAUCCCUAGCUGGUCUGAGAGGAUGACCAGCCACACUGGAACUGAGACACGGUCCAGACUCCUACGGGAGGCAGCAGUGGGGAAUAUUGCACAAUGGGCGCAAGCCUGAUGCAGCCAUGCCGCGUGUAUGAAGAAGGCCUUCGGGUUGUAAAGUACUUUCAGCGAGGAGGAAGGCAUUGCGGUUAAUAACCGCAGUGAUUGACGUUACUCGCAG
rnacentral:rRNA from 1 species